rnacentral:rRNA from 1 species
AGGGGUAUAUGUCUUCGGAUGUAGAGACCGGCGCACGGGUGCGUAACGCGUAUGCAAUCUACCUUUUACAGGGGAAUAGCCCAGAGAAAUUUGGAUUAAUGCCCCAUAGUAUAAUUGAAUGGCAUCAUUUAAUUAUUAAAGUCACAACGGUAAAAGAUGAGCAUGCGUCCCAUUAGUUAGUUGGUAAGGUAACGGCUUAUCAAGACAAUGAUGGGUAGGGGUCCUGAGAGGGAGAUCCCCCACACUGGUACUGAGACACGGACCAGACUCCUACGGGAGGCAGCAGUGAGGAAUAUUGGACAAUGGGCGCAAGCCUGAUCCAGCCAUGCCGCGUGCAGGAAGACGGUCCUAUGGAUUGUAAACUGCUUUUAUACAGGAAGAAACACUCCGACGUGUCGGAGCUUGACGGUACUGUAGGAAUAAGGAUCGGCUAACUCCGUGCCAGCAGCCGCGGUAAUACGGAGGAUCCAAGCGUUAUCCGGAAUCAUUGGGUUUAAAGGGUCCGUAGGCGGUUUAAUAAGUCAGUGGUGAAAUCUGGUCGCUCAACGAUCAAACGGCCAUUGAUAAUGUUAGACUUGAAUUAUAAGGAAGUAACUAGAAUAUGUAGUGUAGCGGUGAAAUGCUUAGAUAUUACAUGGAAUACCAAUUGCGAAGGCAGGUUACUACUUAUGGAUUGACGCUGAUGGACGAAAGCGUGGGGAGCGAACAGGAUUAGAUACCCUGGUAGUCCACGCCGUAAACGAUGGAUACUAGCUGUUGGAAGCAAUUUCAGUGGCUAAGCGA